rnacentral:miRNA from 1 species
GUUGUAAGUACUAUUUACAACAUGAGCGGCUGUGUUGUAUCGGAUAUACAAACUCGAGCCGAAGGCGAGAGUUUAUAUCCGAUACAACACAGACGCGAAUGUUGUAAAUGACUUAAAAA